rnacentral:rRNA from 1 species
UACAGAGGGUGCGAGCGUUGUCCGGAAUCACUGGGCGUAAAGGGCGCGUAGGUGGUGGCUUAAGCGUGCGGUGAAAGCUCGGGGCUCAACUCCGAGUCGGCCGUGCGAACUGGGCUCACUGGAGCAUAGUAGAGGCAGGUAGAAUUCCGGGUGUAGCGGUGGAAUGCGUAGAGAUCCGGAAGAACACCGGUGGCGAAGGCGGCCUGCUGGGCUAUGGCUGACACUGAGGCGCGACAGCGUGGGGAGCAAACAGG